rnacentral:rRNA from 1 species
CUUUUAUCCCAUGAUUACGUUAGCUAUCGAGGCGCACUAUAGAAUACUCAAGCUAUGCAUCCAACGCGUUGGGAGCUCUCCCAUAUGGUCGACCUGCAGGCGGCCGCGAAUUCACUAGUGAUUAAGUUUGAUCCUGGCUCAAACAACCCUUGGGGCAGGCUUAACACAUGCAAGUCGAACGGUUGUAGCAAUACAGCAGUGGCAGACGGGUGAGUAACACGUGGGAACCUUCCUAGAGGUACGGAACAACUCAGGGAAACUUGAGCUAAUACCGUAUACGCUCGUGAGAGGAAAGAUUUAUCGCCUUUAGACGGGCCCGCGUAGGAUUAGCUAGUUGGUGGGGUAACGGCCUACCAAGGCGACGAUCCUUAGCUGAUCUGAGAGGAUGAUCAGCCACACUGGGACUGAGACACGGCCCAGACUCCUACGGGAGGCAGCAGUGGGGAAUCUUGGACAAUGGGCGCAAGCCUGAUCCAGCCAUGCCGCGUGAGGGAUGAAGGUCUUCGGAUUGCAAACCUCUUUCAGCAGGGACGAAGCGAAAGUGACGGUACCUGCAGAAGAAGCACCGGCUAACUACGUGCCAGCAGCCGCGGUAAUACGUAGGGUGCAAGCGUUGUCCGGAUUUAUUGGGCGUAAAGAGCUCGUAGGCGGUUAGACACGUCGGAUGUGAAAACUGGGGGCUCAACCCCCAGCCUGCAUUCGAUACGGUCUGACUAGAGUGUGGUAGGGGUAACUGGAAUUCCUGGUGUAGCGGUGAAAUGCGCAGAUAUCAGAGACACCGAUGGCGAAGCAGGUACUG